CACCUCUCAGGGUCUCACCUGGAGAGUUUCCAGUACUCUAUCAGUCUCGACUAUGGAAGGCAGAGUCAAGCAGGGGCAUAUCCAUUCCGCUCCUGGCUUGGGCAGUGGCUAGCGGGCGGAAGGCAAUCUGCUACAAGU